UCUGAAUCUUUCGGUCUCCCUUUGGACAGAGUGUUGCAUUCUCAGUCCCCCAGAUUUCCUUUGAGCUGGAAGCGACUGAACAAAGGAAUGGGACUUGCCAGCAAGGGCCUGUUCCCAGGCAUGCUGUGCUGAGCACCAGCAUCGUGGCUGCCUUUGAACCCAACGCCGAGCC